rnacentral:lncRNA from 1 species
ACGACACAAAGAAAAAAUAAUUUCCACAUACUUCACACGUCCUUCAAGGUAGAACAUAACAAAAAUCAAUAUCAAGACUUAAGUAAUAAAACCCAAACAACCCAACGGAUUAUUGUAUGAAUCUUCAACCACCACCAAGAGACCAUUUUGGUAUGAUCCAUUAAGAUUAUUGUAUCACAUUCACAUUGUUGAAAGAUCAAAUGAUUUCUCACACGCCAUAUGGACCAAAUACAAGCUAGCAAAAAUGCAAGUUUAUUUUGAAUAUCCUUCCGACAAGGGGUCUAACCUGAAAGAAAAAACAAUACACGAAGCACCAUCUGACUGGAGAAGCACAUAUUGAAUGUCAAACAACCUAGAGACAAAAAAUUGGGCAAUCAAGAAACAAGUGUGAGGAUGAUUCAACACUCCCAUAUCGGCUUGCACAUAGCGUUGUGUUUGAUGCGAUUAAUACUCUACGCCAUGACAAAUUCACUUCAGGUUAGGAAUUAUCAUGAAAAGUUAGAUAGAAAAGCUGUACAAAUCAUACUAAGCUCCUCCUACCAUUGAAAAAGUUUAC